rnacentral:rRNA from 1 species
AGAACGAACGCUGGCGGCGUGGAUAAGACAUGCAAGUCGAGCGCUGAUUCAGGGGUAGCAAUACUCCUGAAUUGGAGCGGCGCAAGGGUGCGUAACACGUGGGUAAUUUGCCAUGAAGUUGGGGAUAACUUGCUGAAAGGCGAGCUAAUACCGAAUGUGGCCCGAGAGAGGCAUCUUUCUUUGGCUGAAGUUGGGGACCGCAAGGCCUGACGCUUCAUGAUGAACCCGCGGCCUAUCAGCUAGUUGGUGAGGUAACCGGCCCACCAAGGCUAAGACGGGUAGCUGGUCUGAGAGGACGACCAGCCACACUGGAACUGAGACACGGUCCAGACACCUACGGGUGCAGCAGUCGAGAAUUUUCAC